rnacentral:rRNA from 1 species
UGGGGAAUUGUUCGCAAUGGGCGCAAGCCUGACGACGCAACGCCGCGUGGAGGAUGAAGAUCUUCGGGUCGUAAACUCCUUUCGAUCGAGACGAAUUUCCCGGAGGUGAACAAUCUCCGGGGUUGACGGUACCGAGAGAAGAAGCCCCGGCUAACUCCGUGCCAGCAGGCGCGGUAAUACGGGGGGGCAAGCGUUGUUCGGAAUUACUGGGCGUAAAGGGCUCGUAGGCGGCCAACUAAGUCGGACGUGAAAUCCCUCGGCUCAACCGAGGAACUGCGUCCGAUACUGGAUGGCUUGAGUUCGGGAGAGGGAUGCGGAAUUCCAGGUGUAGCGGUGAAAUGCGUAGAUAUCUGGAGGAACACCGGUGGCGAAGGCGGCAUCCUGGACCGACACUGGCGCUGAGUGAGCGAGAGCCAGGGGAGCAAACGGGAUUAGAUACCCCGGUAGUCCUGGCCCUAAACGAUGAAUGCUUGGUGCGGCGGGUAUCGAUCCCUGCCGUGCCGAAGCUAACG